rnacentral:lncRNA from 1 species
AUGCUCCUUAGGGACACGUUGUGUGUGGAACUAGUUAUGAUGGCUGUAAUCUCUAAAGUCUUUGAGUUUUGCAAUAGACUCUGGUAUCAUGAAAGACAUCCUUUCACUGGCCUCCUGCCAUGCCUUCCAAGGAAGCACAAAGGAAGAAUCCAUAUGAAGGAAAGAGUUUUGAAUUAAUAGAAGACUUCAGUUAAGCUUACCUCCAUUGGGAGCUAAAUCCUCUACACCAAAGAUAAAAGGUCAGCUCUUUGUACAGCAAGGGUUGGGUGAACCUGUAUCCUCUACCCAUAUCAUAUUACAGGUAUUAAUACUUUAUUGAAUGUUUAUGCUCUCUGUAGGUGUCCUCAGUUUACAGUGGUUAGUUGGCUCACUUGAAGGCUAAUUCCAAUGCCUUUGCCAGAUUUCUUAUAUUGCUGAAAUUCAAGGGGGAAACAUCUCCCAUCUGAAAUUCAAAGGGUGGAAAAAUUUUCCAGUUUUCCGUUUUGGAAUAAAACCUUCUUGAAAAAUGUUUUUCA